rnacentral:RNase_P_RNA from 1 species
GAAGGAGUACAGGUAAUCGCUGGCGCCUAGAGCGGCGCGAGAGGAAAGUCCGGGCUCCGCAGGGCAAGGGUGGUCGCUAACGGCGACCGGGGGUGACCCCAGGGAAAGUGCCACAGAAAACAAACCGCUGCCCGGCUGCGGCAGUAAGGGUGAAACGGCGAGGUAAGAGCUCACCAGUUCCCCGGGUGACCGGGGAAGCUCGGUAAACCCCACCCGGAGCAAGACCAAUAGAGGGGCUUCAAGGGCUGCCCGUCCCGCCCCCGGGUAGGUCGCUGGAGGCCGCGGGCAACCGUGGCCCUAGAUGAAUGAUUACCACCCCGACCGGGAACGAUCCGGGAGGGGGCACAGAACCCGGCUUACGUGCUGCUUCAGCC